UACGAGAGGCCCAAACGUUAUUCGGAAUUACUGGGCGUAAAGAGCUCGUAGGUGGUUUGUCGCGUUGUUCGUGAAAACUCACAGCUCAACUGUGGGCGUGCGGGCGAUACGGGCAGACUGGAGUACUGCAGGGGAGACUGGAAUUCCUGGUGUAGCGGUGGAAUGCGCAGAUAUCAGGAGGAACACCGGUGGCGAAGGCGGCGUUCUGGACUGCAACUGACACUGAGGAACGAAAGCCAGGGGAGCAAACGGG
rnacentral:rRNA from 1 species